rnacentral:rRNA from 1 species
CUUUCAAAAAGCGUUAAAGCUUAAUUAUUUCAUCACUAAUAAUUCCUCACACUAUCAUUAGCCCUUCACUACUACUGAAUUAUUUUAUAUCACUAUAAAAGAUACUAUGCUAGAACUAGUAACAAGAAAUUGAAUUUCUCCAAAAUGCAAGUAUAAGCCAAAAUGGACUAACCAUUGACAAUUAACGCCAAUGAAUAAAUUAUAGUAACAUAAACUAGAGCACCCUAUAAACCCUAUAAGCGUUAACCUUACACUAGAACAUUACAGGAAAGAUUAAAAGAGAAAGAAGGAACUCGGCAAACCUUAGCCCCGCCUGUUUACCAAAAACAUCGCCUCUUGACAAAUUAUAAGAGGUCUAGCCUGCCCAGUGACAAAGUUCAACGGCCGCGGUACCCUAACCGUGCGAAGGUAGCAUAAUCACUUGUUCUUUAAAUAAGGACUAGUAUCAACGGCAUCACGAGGGCUAUACUGUCUCCUUUCUCCAAUCAGUGAAACUGAUCUCCCCGUGAAGAAGCGGGGAUUAUUAUAUAAGACGAGAAGACCCCAUGGAGCUUUAAACUCAUCAUACACCUUUGUUUAUCUACAUCAUAAUAUCCUAAAAGAUUUGUAUGCUAGUUUUCGGUUGGGGGGACCGCGGAGUAAAAACUAACCUCCACGACAAAUGGGCGAUGCCCUUAUCUAAGAAUUACAGCUCUAAGAAUCAAUAAACUGAUGUUUAAUGACCCGAAUAAUCGAUCAACGAACCAAGUUACCCUGGGGAUAACAGCGCAAUCUACUUCAAGAGCUCCUAUCGACAAGUAGGUUUACGACCUCGAUGUUGGAUCAGGGUAUCCAAGUGGUGCAGCCGCUACUAAAGGUUCGUUUGUUCAACGAUUAAAACC